rnacentral:rRNA from 1 species
CACGUAGGGUGCGAGCGUUGUCCGGAAUUAUUGGGCGUAAAGAGCUCGUAGGCGGUGUGUCGCGUCGGCCGUGAAAACCUGCAGCUUAACUGUGGGCUUGCGGUCGAUACGGGCAGACUGGAGGUAUGCAGGGGGAGAACGGAAUUCCUGGUGUAGCGGUGAAAUGCGCAGAUAUCAGGAGGAACACCGGUGGCGAAGGCGGUUCUCUGGGCAUGUCCUGACGCUGAGGAGCGAAAGUGUGGGGAGCGAACAGG